rnacentral:rRNA from 1 species
UACGUAGGUGGCAAGCGUUACUCGGAAUCACUAGGCGUAAAGCGCAGGUAGGAGGUUCGAUAAGUCUGUUGUGAAAGCUCCCGGCUUAACUGGGAGAGGUCAACGGAAACUGUCGAGCUAGAGUGCGGUAGAGGUAGCUGGAAUUCCCGGUGUAGCGGUGAAAUGCGUAGAUAUCGGGAGGAAUACCUAUGGCGAAAGCAGGCUACUGGACCGUCACUGACUCUGAUCUGCGAAAGCUAGGGGAGCAAACAGG